ensembl:lncRNA
ACCGACCCCACGGUGGGUGUUGGAGGUGGGGGGGAGACAAGAGGGACAAUGGGAGCUCCUUUAGGCUGCGGCGGAGGAGAAAAAAAGCACACUGCUGCUGGGGUCCUCCCCCGACUUCGACACUGAUUUUACACGGUUGUGCUUUUUUCUUCACGCUGGCUGAUUCAAUGGCAGGCGACAAAAGCUCCUCUCCUUUUUUUUUCCUUUUCUCUUCGACGUGGUGACGUUUCUUUCUUUUUUUUUAUCCUCCCUCUCAAAAGUACAAACCAGUGAGGGGAAAAUGACCUUUGACAUCACCUUUUCUUGGUGCCAUCUCUGUGUGUCUGUGAAACGUAAUGAGGGUUAUGGCAAAGGUCGACAGAUCGCGUCACUUUGAUGGUACCCGCCGGGGCUACACGGGCAAUAGAGGGACGCUGAAAAGACCACACGGUGUGGUUUGUUGCCUAGGGACCUUGAUGACACAGUAGGACAUCACAUUGUUCUCCACACAAAGGAGACUCAUUUAGACGAGGAGGAGGCACGGAAAUCUGAGGGUGGUCGUCUUAUUGAUUAGAUAAUUUAUGGUACUGCUGAACCAGCCGGUGCACCAAAGUGACUAAACAAGGCAUGAAAAUUGGUCAAUUGGGCUGAAGUUAGUGGUUCUCAGCAACAAGAACCAGAAAAAUGCUUCACCUAGUUAAACUCUAAAGGGUGCUCCCUCUCAGUACUACAGCAGCAGGCAGACGCUGGUGCCAUCUCCUUUUCUCGAGCAGACACAGAUCACUGAUGACAGCAGCACUCAGGCAGGUCAGCUGUUCUACGUCGGCCUGCCCUCCAGCUACAGCCUGCCUGUGCUGGAAGGCCCCCUGCCGAGGCUCCCCUCCUAUGAGAGCGUCCGAAAGAAGGACCGCCAGAGGCAGAUCCACAUGAUGAUCGCAGACCGUUUUGGUCUCAAUGGACCCAUUGUGACUGAGCCUCCUCCAACAUACGAAGAGAGCAUCCGUCAGUCGGUGGAGCUGCCGUACGACAUCCUCUCAUCCAGCCUGGACGUCCCCUCUGCUCAGAGUUUCUACACCAACACUAGAGCCGUCGUUCAGACUGACACAGCGCCUCCAGCUAACUUUGAGGCCGCCGACAACACCGUCCUACCCAUGUGACGCCGAUCAAGCCAUCAAACUUUCUGGUGAAUGUGAAGCAGAAUUGCGAUAUUUAACGUAACGCAGAUGCAGUUACUAAAUCGACUGGAUCCUUAACACUUGUGUACAAGAUGAUUCUGAUACCUCAAAACUGACAGAGCUAAUGUUGAUCAUGAGCUGGAAGGCAACCAUACGAGGAGCCGCACACCCUGCAGGGAAGGACACGUUUGAAUGUUAAAAAUACUUUGUGACAUUUACUGUGCUCUACCGUGCCCGUGAGUUUGAAAACAGAAACACUGAAUACUCAUAAAACUAAGGUGGCUGGCACAUCUCGAACAGGAGAGGGCAGAACUGAAACAUACCAAAAAAAGGGAACGACUAUUUACUUUGUUGGUUACAGUGACGUGUAUUAAAUUCUGUUAAUGGACUUAUGUUUUCACAGUUAGCUCUUCUCAUUUAUUCUAAUGUCCCCGAACUGGAAACCUCAUUGUGUGGUUUUUAAAGAGGUCUGUUUGUUUAGUAGCUGCCGCAAAGCGGGCUUCUUUACCCCGCUGAGGCGAUGCAACGCUGCUCUAGCUUGAGAGGGAGAAUAAAAAAGGUGCUAAUGAGAGUGCCUUUCAUGGAAUCGAAACUAGACAUUCAUUACAAAACCUUUGUCUUUACCCCAUCUUUUGAUUUUUUUCUAUUUACACACCAGAUUUUAUGUCUUAAUGUUCUGUGCGUUAUUUUCUCUUACUUUCCAUGUGCACGAGUCGUAUGUUUGCCCUGCAUAUGUCUCGUACUGUAUUUAUUGAAGAAAGAUAACUGACAUCUUGUUAUUUCUC